UGGUGGAGCGAUUUGACUGGUUAAUUCCGAUAACGAACGAGACUCUGGCCUAUUAAAUAGUUCGCCGAUUCCGAUCUGUCGGCGUUAACUUCUUAGAGGGACAAGUGGCUUUUAGCCACGCGAGAUUGAGCAAUAACA
rnacentral:rRNA from 1 species